rnacentral:lncRNA from 1 species
AUUUUGAACUUGGUUCUUCAUGUUCUGCAUCAAUCGUUGUUCUUUGAACUUAUGUGAGCGAUAUGGAUCCUGGAAGUUAAUUUUGUUUUGUAAAAAUUCUCGUUGCUUUCAUGAUGAUGACACUAUGAACUCUCUCUGUGAAGAUUCAGCCAGAUGUUUUCCAUGUCGCUUUUAGUGAUGCUCUGAUUAUGAUAGACGUUUUUUGCCCUUCCUCCAUUGUCUCUCCUUGUGUAAAUACGUUUGUAAUAGGUCAUUAGGUGUAGGUUAGCUCUUCUGCUUUUGCAUUCUUCUUUUAGUUUUCUGAAUCUUUGAUUUAAGCUAGUCACUUUGGCUCUUUGUUAUGUGUUUCUUUCUUUUUCUUCUGUGUUAUUCUUCUUAUUGGCAUUGUUAGUCUUUUUAUGAGUGAACUCUAUUUGUAUUCUUGAUUUGUUUUCUUUCUUGUUUUGUUAGCUUCACCUUGUUGUGUACUGGUUUGAGAAGCUUUGUUAUUGCUUUCA